UACGUAGGGUGCAAGCGUUAAUCGGAAUUACUGGGCGUAAAGCGUGCGCAGGCGGUUUUGUAAGUCUGAUGUGAAAUCCCCGGGCUCAACCUGGGAAUUGCACUGGAGACUGCAAGGCUAGAAUCUGGCAGAGGGGGGUAGAAUUCCACGUGUAGCAGUGAAAUGCGUAGAGAUGUGGAGGAACACCGAUGGCGAAGGCAGCCCCCUGGGUCAAGAUUGACGCUCAUGCACGAAAGCGUGGGGAGCAAACAGG
rnacentral:rRNA from 1 species